AACGACCGUACCAUGCUGAAUAUACCGGUUCUCGUCAAGCAUCAUUGGGCGCCGUCAGUACUUGGGUGGGUGACCACCUGGGAACACCGCGUGCCGUU